rnacentral:rRNA from 1 species
UACGGAGGGCGCAAGCGUUGUCCGGAUUCAUUGGGUUUAAAGGGUGCGUAGGCGGGCGAUUAAGUCAGUGGUGAAAUCCUCCGGCUCAACCGGAGUCGUGCCAUUGAUACUGGUUGUCUUGAGUACAGAUGAGGUGGGUGGAAUUUACGGUGUAGCGGUGAAAUGCAUAGAUACCGUAAGGAACUCCGAUAGCGAAGGCAGCUCACUAAACUGGAACUGACGCUGAGGCACGAAAGCAUGGGGAUCGAACAGG